AAUGGCAAUGACAAUGGGAAGCAAGGCCGUAAGGCAGAGCGAAUCCGGAAAGAUUGCCUCAGUUCGGAUUGUUCUCUGCAACUCGAGAACAAAG
rnacentral:ncRNA from 1 species